rnacentral:lncRNA from 1 species
AAAGCUACCACGUGCCAUUUCAUGAAUAUUACAUACAUGAUACAUCACCAAGGGCAGUGUUUUUUUCACUUGAGCAUUGAACUAAUCUACCUGGAUAUUGUUACAACCGUAAAUACAUGGUACAUCAAGCAUCAAUUUCAUUCACAACUUUCUCAUGGAUGAGGCCAUUAAUGUCAUCCCAGGCAUCAACAAGUUAAAUCACAAUGUAAAACGAAGCUUCAAAUUUGUUUGCUUGAAUUUCUCCAUCCCCAAGGUACAUUAAGAAUCACCCGUACUUUAAUUACAUGUUUACGAAUUUAUUGAAUAAAUAUUAAGUACUUACACACACACACACACAAAUGGGGUUUAUGCUCAGUAUGUGAAUGAACAAGUAAAAAUAAUUGUAUUAUGCAUUUUCGGGUAAACUAACUGAUGAGAUUAGCAGCAACGUGUAGCAUAAACCGGUGGGAGAUGGAAGGACUACUGGUAUACUAGUCGGCAAAGAGUGCUCCGAUUGGGGAUGAGUGCUUCGGUCGGCCAAGGCACGGUGACGAGAGGGAGGCGACGAGAGGGAAGGAGGGUUUGGAACAUUAUCUCUUUCCUUUUGAUUUCCCGCUUCUGGUUUUGCCCCUCUUGUUUUCUUUCUUUAGUUUUUUCUUCUUCUUCUUCUUCUUCUUUUUUUUUUUUUUUUUAAUUGUGCAAUAACACGUAAACGAAAAUUCAAUUGCCUUUUUUCAUUCCUGGCUGACUAGCAUUAUUCUAUCUAUAUACCCCUUUAAAUUUGAAGUCAAAACAAGAAGAUGCGUUUUUUAAAAGCAGUCUUCUGGGCAAUCGCGCCAAACUCCAAUCGAUUAAUAAUGCCUCUCUAAUUUCCCAAACCUAAAAAAAAUUUCUGGUAAGAUUUUUUUCUUCUUCUUUCAGUAAUUCAAUAGUUCGAUUUAACUAUUAUUAUGCUUGCAUAGCAGAAUUAAUUCAAUUAUUCCUUCGAGCAUAUGAUGGUGAUAAAUAUGAUUUAAAAGUAGUGUAUGGGAUGUGAUGAAAUUUUAUGGUUUGCUCCUUUGCUUGGUUGGGUCUAUUGUUUAUAGAUAGUGUUAUAUCUGAUUGAUCUCUGGGCUCCGGCACACGGCUAUACUUCCGAUCGAGAAUAAGCACAUAACUGGGUAUCCGUUUCCCCUUAACUUGUAUGCCAUUUCAGUUGUUUCACAAUUAAUUUACGCAUCAUGCAGUCCUCGAAUCAUUGGUUCCUAAUGCGUGGUUGGUGCUACCAUUUCCCAAUCCCUGUUUUGGAGAAUCCAUACUGCCUAGGAAGACAUCAGGGCUAGAGGUGUGCUACUUCUCACUACAAGUAAUAAGCCUUUCACCUCAUGGCGGUGGGAUAUUCCACUGGCCACCACGUUACAUCACGAUACUGAAUUGGCUUCAGACUAACAAUUGCACCUGCAGGCUGCAGCCAUAUGCAUGCAAGGAGCAGGCCCAACACUAUAGCUGCAGUGGCAAAAGGGCUUACUGGCUCAACAGCUCCUCUGCUGUCAAAGGUAGAAUCUGCAGCAGGAGAUGCACAUUGUGUGCAUGCAGGAAGCCAUGUUUGAAGUCUUGAAGGUAGUUCAAGUAACCUGCACCGAAUAUAGAGUGGGGCAGGCACCAGAAUAUCUAAAGGUGUGGUUCUAUCUAGGAAAUAUGGGGGCAUAGAAUUCUCCUAGAGCUUGGACAUGUAUUCAGAGGCUAGAUAUACCACGUUCCAGUAUGUUCUUUAGUAUAUUCAAUACAUGAAAUUUAAUAUACAAUUGAGAGAGAUUCUGUAGGAUGGCAUCCAGUCUGUAGGGUGGUAUCCAGAUAUUCCUAUUUCUAUAUAAGUUUUUGGAAAGAUUCUAGAAAACUUCCCUCAAGCAUUGGAUAAAUGAAUUUCCACCAUCCAUUGAGGUGGAAGCUACAAAUGGCGAGCAAAGGCCCUAAUUUUCAAAACAAUGAAGGGACUGUUGUAAACAAGACGAAGGAGAAAGAGGCACAUUUCUUCCAAACUCUCUUGUGCACUUACUUUAGUUAAUUACUUGGUUUACCUUUUAGCUAUCUAGUUAGGCAAUGCACGCAGAUUGCUUACAUGGUCUGUUGUGGUUGUCAAAAAUUUGAUUGCAUUAUAUCUUCACAUAAAUGUAGCAAUGGACUGAGUGGAGCGAUUUAGUAAACUGCCGACUCCAAAUUAUUUGGAGUGGGACUUCUGCUGCUGUUGUUUGAGUUAGGUAGCCUGACUUUGAUUAGUACAUUGGUUGUGGGGUUUGCUGAACACAGAGCUGGCCUCUGGAAUUUUUGAGGCCCCAGGUGACCAACCGUUACGAGGCCCUUAAAAUACUUUUUUUAACAAGCCUAACAAACUUAAAUAUAUAAAUAAAUAACAACAAUUAGCACUUAGCAACCAUGUUUUAGUCUAUUAGAUGAUUCCCAAACGCAAAAACAAAAUGUCCAUAAUUAAGAUCCGGAAACUCAAUCUGCAGAGACUUAAAGCAUGUGAUUUAUGAAAGAGAGAUAGAGUAGAUAUGCCUUGGGAAAUGAGUUUUACACAAAUUUAGACACACCAGAUACUUCACUAAUUAUUUUGUAAACUCACGGCACCUCACAAUUAUGUUUAUCACUCAUGGCACUUCCCACUCAUUAUCUCUCUAACACACACGUGUAUAUAUAUAUAUAUUUAUGCUCUCUCUCUCUCUCUAUAUAUAUACACACACACAUAUAUAUAUACACGUACUGCUUGUCUCUCUAUCUUUCUCUACUUGCUCUCUUCCCACUCCCACACUACUCUCCACACACACACAAUUCAUACAACACAUAUCUACUAUCUAGACAAUUCUUCAAAAAAUAUCAGCCUUCUUACUUCUCCAGAUUAUUCAGCCAAGGCGGUGCAAGAGAAAACUCCAGAAUGGCGGUGGUUGCUGCUCGAACCUGAUUCUUCUAGUUUCUUCUAGCCAUGGUGCAUGGAUGCAUAAUCUAGAAAUAAUGUUGGCUGAAGAUGGACAACAAAAAUAUUCUGAAUUGAAGGGGCUGUCCCUUCAACUUCAGUUUCCUUUCCUUCCCGCGAUGUAUCCCUUUCCUUCCCUAACGCUUAACAGUUAACCCUUUUCUAUUGGUGCUGGUAUGAAUUUUGAGGCCCUAGGCCAAAGCCAUAUUCCUGAGGCCCUAGGCGUUUGCCUAGGUGGCUUAGCCUCAGGGCCGGCUCUGGCUGAACAUGAGGUUGGUCGUAGUUUAAUGCUUUCAGUAUGCAUUAGAGGAGCUAAUUUGGCAUGUGUACUAGGAAAGGGCCAAGUUCUAACCAUGUGAGAACAUGCCUAACUUGCCUCUGUUUUUAACCAUUGGAAGUUAAUUGAAUGCAAUGUCGACCUUAAGAUAAAGAUAUUUCUAGCUUUCAAAUGAUAAUGAGUUAAUUGUUAAGUGCAAUUAUAAAAGUUGAACAUCUGAGAUUGGAUUUCAGACCUUUUAGGCACAGUACUGUUUGUUGUCUCCUUAGAAGAAGCAAAAAUGUGGACUUGCAGGCGUAAGACUUAAUGGUCGAGACAGAGGGCUUCAAUAACAGGCGACUUCUACUAAAAACACUGUGGACCCAACUUUUGUGUUUACUUUGCGACCUGGUCUGCAAGCUACAAUGCCUCACACAGGGAAAAAAAAUGUAAACCCUUUUCACUCAACUACGUUAAAUAACAUCAAAACAAUUGAAAAGCAAAUCAUCUUGCCAAUGGCCAAAUGGAAAAUUAAAAAGUUGAUCUUCAUUAAGUACUUAAUGUCUUUCAGGCCGAAUACACUGAUCUUCAUUAAGUACUUAAUGUCUUUCAGGCUGAAUACACUGAGUUGCAUCUCUCCGUUGUUUUACCGGGUUGAACUUUGGCUCAAUGUGCCACUUGUUGUAGAAUGAAGUUUUUACUUAACAUCAAGAGAUGAGAACAUUUUAUUUCUUGAUUAUUUAGGAUAUCAGAUUGAUUUCAGUUUGCUGAAUGAGUAAUUAUCACAACAGUUCAGAUUAUAACAUUACUGCUUUUUGUGCCACCCCCCCAAAAUUUAUCAGUGACUCUAAAGUAUCUUACAGUUAGCUCCAAGUACUUAAAAUGUGUCAUAUAAUGUACAAAUGGGUAUGAUAUUGUGGAGGAUUGAUGAUUUUUUGUGCACCUAAAAGCAGCUAUAACAAAUAUCUCUGCUGCGUGGCUGAUGGAGAAAUACUGGAGUAGCUUAGACGUGCUCUAAUUUUUACCUGUCAUAUAUGAAGGUGAAAAUACUGUACAUCACGUGUAUUAUUUUCCUUUUCUUUAUUUUAUGCUAUUUGGAAUUAGGUUUUUGUUGGAGCACCCCUAAGGAUGGUUUCGGCAUACUAUAUAACCAUUAGCGUAAUGAUUUCUGAUUCCACAUUUGAGUUGAAUUACUUGAUUCUCAUUUCUUAAACACAUUGCAGAUGGUUAUACCAAUAAUUUUCGCCAUGAUUUUUGAAUCUUGUAAUCUCCAAACAUUUGAACGAGAAUUCAUAAGCCUUUAUGUUAUGAUGUAUGGAAGAAAAGAUGUUUUUACAGUAAAGUAAACUGCAUUUUCUUCUUCCUGCAUUGAAAUUUCUUCAUAUUUCUCCAAUAUUUAGUCAAAUCUUUAUUUUCUAGCCUAUGUAUUAGAUUUUCACCUUCUAAAAAUAAUAAGGAAGCAGAAAAGAAUUUAGAAAAAUGAAAAGCUAGUUUUCCAUGAAACUUCUAAUAGUUAAUGUGGAAGUAGAAAUCUUUCGAACAGAUUAACCAGAAUUAAAUCAGUCCGAACCUUGAGCACAUCCUCUGUCUCCAAAAGGCAUCCGGAAUGCUUACAUAUGACUAGAAUACCCCAUCUUUGUCUCAUUAACAAUAGCUCAGUCCCCAAUUCGUCUCCCUCUAUAUUUUUUCAUAUUUGAACUUCCUUCUCUUCAGGUUAUGCAUCUGUUUAACACUGCAAAUUCUGCCUUUCUUCUUUUUAAGAUAGGAAUAGUUGAAUAUAAACAAUGUUAGGCAAAAAAACUUUUCACAUUUCACUGAUCAUCUAAUUUAAUAGGUUGAAAAUGACAAUGUUGUUGCAAGAAUAGAAAAAACCAUUUCAUGUGAUGACAUGGGGUGAAACAUGGGGAUCUUACAAACAUCUCCUUAUUGAGGUACAUCCUGAAUUCAUGCUAAACAUUGGGCAACAUAAUUUAUACUGGUGGUAGCCACGUGAUCAUGAUUGGACUUCUUACCCUAUGUAACCCAUCUUUCCAUAUCAAAGAUCCAAAUUCUGGAGCUGUUUGCCUAGAUUUUGUAGUGAUAGUAAUCUUGUAAGAUAGCUUCUUAAGUCUGCUGUUGAAAUUUAGUCUUGCAGGUUCGACCUUCACGACUGCACCCUUAAAAGGUGAAAUUACAACAUGGUAGCUUGAAUUUGGAGGACCAACAUUGGUGACUGUUCUGCGUAGGAUCACAGAUGUGACGUUUGCCGUCUC